CUGGCCUAUCAGUAAAUUCCAUCCAUCUGGUUGCAGUCGCUUGGCCAAGUGACUCACAGAAACUCAGUCCUUUGUCAAAAUGAUGGGGAAAGAGAAGCUCUUCUUCCACUGAAACUUUUUCUUUUUUGAGAUGGAUCCUCCCUGUGUCCCCCAGGCUGGAGUACAGUGGCUUCAUCUCGGCUCACUCUAGCUUCCGCCUCCUGGAUUCAAGCAAUUCUCAUGCGUCAGCCUCCUGAGUAGCUGAGACUACAGAAAUGCACCACCACACCAGGCUAAUUUUUGUAUUUUUAGUAGAGAUGGGGUUUCAUCAUGUUGCCCAGACUGGUCUCAAACUCCUGACCUCACAUAAUCUGCCCACCUUGGCCUCCCAAAGUGCUGGGAUUACAGGAGCAAGCCACCACACCCGGCCUCCACUGGCACUUCUAACUGUAGGACGAUACAAGCCUGGUGCAGCCAGAGUCCCCAGGCAGGGAGGCAGGAAUCUGAGAAUGGAGUCAACACAGAAGAGAGAAGAGCUCUGAGAUGGAGAGAGAGACUGCUGAAAUGAUACUUGCUGGUACAGGCUGAUCCGUCUACUCAAACUUCACAGCCGUCAGUACAGGGCAAAACCUGCUUAGCCAUGUUGGCCAGAGUGUCCACAAGAUUAAAACUCACUCAGAUGCUCAGAAGAAAUAAAACUAUAUUCCUGAUUAUGAUACUUGAAAAAAAAAUUCUACCUUGGGCUGCUUAUAAGGAAGAUGCUGUGUAAAAUGAUGAUUCACACCCUCAACCAUAUUCCUACAAUAAAUAUGACAAUGAAUUAACGGAUUUCAUGGGACUGUUUCUUAUAACAUCCUGAUGACAAAACACCAAAGCACAGUUUAAUGCAAGCAGUUUUCAAGUCAGGAAAUGAUGCAGGCCACUUGUGUAGUCACUGCUAGAAUGGCUAGUCAGAACAAAGGUGACGCCUCCAGGAUAAAUGAGUGCAGGCUUCAUAUGGUUUGGAUCUGUGUUCCUGCCCAAAUCUCAUGUUGAAUUGUAAUCUCCAAUGUUGGAGGAGGGGCCUGAUGUGAGGUGACUGGAUCAGGGAGGCAGAUAUCCCCCUUUGUGCUGCUCUCAUGAUAGUGAGUGAGUGCUCAUAAAAUCUGGUUGUUUAAACACAGGUAGCACCUCCCUGCUCUCUAUCUUGCCACUGCCGCAGCCAUGUAAGAUGUGCCUGCUUCCCUUUCACCAUCCACCAUGAUUGAAAGUUUCCUGAGGCCUCCCGAGAAGCUGCUCUGCUUCCUGUACAGCUUGCAGAACUUUCUCAAAAGUAAAUGAGCUGUUCCUGAACCUAUUGGGUCUAGGAGAGGUCUCAGUUUAUGGGCAGCUGAUGAUGUCUCACUAUGAAGAACUUGUCCUGAUGGUGGGCAGCUGUUGAAGAUGAAUAGUAAGGAUCUCCCAUGGGAGGUCCAGGAAGGCUGAUAUCUUCCAGGCUUGCCUAUAGGCUUAUGUGGCUCACAUGCCAAGAUGGGAACAGACUGUGCUCCUUCUACUUAGAAAAGAAUAAAAUUAACUGUAAAGCAUCCUUGGGCAGGUCCUUCAGGAGGUAUUCCGGAAGAGGGCAUUGUUAUCAUAGGAGAUGACAGCUCCAUCCUGUUACUGCCCCAAAGACCUUCCAGUGGGACAAGAUGUGGAGGUAGAAGACAGUGAUAUUGAUGAUCCUGACUCCACAUAGGCCUACGCUAAUGUGUGUGUGUCUUAGUUUUUAAAAAAGUUUAAAAAGUAAAAAACAAUUUAAAAAGUUUUAUUAGAAUAAAGCUUACAGAAUAAAGAUAUAAAGAAAGAAAAUAUUUUUGUACAGCCAUAGAGUGUUUGUGUUUUAAGCUUAGUGUUAUUACAAAAGGAUCAAAACUUUCAAAAUAUUUAGAAGUUUAUAAGGUAAAAAGUUAUAGAUGGCUAAGUGCGGUGGCUCACACCUGUAAUCCCAGCACUUUGGGAGGCCAAGGCAGGUGGAUC